rnacentral:piRNA from 1 species
UAUACGCUUAAUUGAGAAUGGGC